rnacentral:tRNA from 1 species
AUUGAAAUGCCUGAAAAAAGGAUUACAAUGAUAUUGUAAAUUAUAUAUAACAAAAUAUUUUCAAUU